AAUUUCAAAUUCAAACUAAAGUGACGACACUUUUCCUCAUUUGCGGUCGUACUAGAUUAAGCAAACGUGUGGCUGGCAGAGGAAGAUUGCCACACAACCUUUGACCGUUGUUAGACUUACGGAGCUGCGGCUUUAUUCGAAGUUUGCACUGAUCAACCAAUCAGCCUGUGUUACUUUUAUUAGAGGUAAACAUUCCUAGAAUGCAUUUAGUACUUUCGACUAAUAAAAGUGCUCUAUGCACUCAAAUGCUCUUCACAAGCAUGCAUAUAGCAUGUGCGUUCACAUCAGUUGAGAGCGUUUUUGUGAAUGCGUUUUGUGAGCAUGCGAAGUUUAAUAAAUCCAUCCAGGGAUCUGAUACUUUCAUUAGAAUUACUACACAUGUAUGCACAUGCAUGCAGUCAUGCAAUUCAAUGUUUAUUAUGAUUGCCUUGGAAACAGUUUGCUGCAAAGACCACCUGCAUAGUCAUGCAACAUUAUAGCCAUGAUUAUACUUAGAAGUUUCAAAUAAGAGCUGUAAACACCCCCCCCCCCUUCCAAGAACUCAGUCUACACAGACUAGUUCAAUGAACUAUUACUAAUGAUCUAGUCUCGUGGACCAGCCGAUAUUCAGGGUCUGGGUCCGCGAGACUACUGAUGAUCUGGCCUGACGGUGCAUGGGGUGAGUGCAUGGUGGUGAGGUACGGUUAAAAAUAGGGACAUACUCCAAACUAAUUAUCCGACAGCUAUAUAGUGUGCAUUUGCAUGGUUGUACAAAUUCAUGCAUAAUUGUUCAAGGCCUGGAUUCGAGGCUAGACUGUAUGAAAACAUAAAGAAGAGAGCUUAUGACCAAAGAAUCAGAGAUGUAGAAAACUCAACCUUCACUCCCCUCAUCCUGUCAAGCACUGGGGGCCUUGGACGUUUCGCUACCUCCACCUAUAAAAGAUUGGCGUCUCUCCUAUCAACGAAAUGGGAUCAGCCCUACAGCACCACCAUGGGAUGGAUCAGAUGCAGGCUGUCCUUCUCUCUCCUUAGAUCAGCCAUCAUGUGUAUUAGGGGGGCCCGAUCAAGCCAAGGGCACGAAACAGCCCCCUAUCGACCUAGUGACAAGCGAGUCCCUGGUCUCCCACCACACCCUGCCCAUGCAUGAACUAAGUAAUUACUACACAUGACUUAUUUGCCAGUGCCUGCAUUGUUCUCUCUUUGGUUUUUAGUAACACUAACCCUUGUUAUUAUUAAAAAAAAAAAAGGGCUAGAUCUAGACCAUAGAUUAUUAUUUUUAUUAUUAUUAUUAUGAGAGCUUUACAGCAUAUGACAUUACAGAAAAUAGAGUAAGGUAGUAAGGUCUAGCAGGCAUACAUCCUAAUGCUGACAGACUUACCCCUUUUCAGGGGCAGCUGGAACAAAACAAAACAAGAAAAAAACAAAACAAACAAAACAAAAAAUCAUUAAAUUGUGUGGCAGUUCUGGCAUGGGCAUAUCAGGUGGUACGAGCACACAUCCGAUUGUUCAAAAUUUCUUUCAAAAUUAGAUAUUAAAUAUUGCCGUACUUUUUGUUUUAUACUGUAGACAGAUGCUGAAAAGUCCAAUAUAUCAGCCGGGAGUGAGUUCCAUAAUUUGGCAAUUCUGUUUAGGUAGAAAUGUCUUGUAUAGUUGGGCCACACCAUAUGUUCACGGAUUUUCCGGGUCAUAUUUUUGCAGAAUGCCCCCAAAAAAUAAACCAAUUAGUGGUCUAGGUCAGAGGUCAGAAUAGCCGCGUGAUCUGCAAAACGUUGUAAUGUUUAAUUAAAUGCUACAGCGGUUUUCAGAGUUCUUGCAUCUCCAAUAGAGCGGAAGUCACUUGUCACGUGAUAUUCCCACAAAUUUUGCUGAGUCGACAAGUUUUUUACAUUGAGUUUUUAUUAGCCUCGAGUCCAGCCCCUUUCUCAGCGGCCUGGAAUCGAGGCUAGGUUUUUAAUAGACAAAAUUACUCCUCGUUACUAAAUGUACUAGUUAUUCAGAGAAGUCUGAAAUAUAUAGGAGUGUAGCUUCCCAGUAUUAUAAGGAACUGGUUGAAGUGGCUUGCCCCGGCCUGCCUACUCAUUUUGUGUUGCUGCAAGCUGAUGAGUCAUACAGACAGUAGAAUCUCUCUUAGCUCUAGACAUCCAGUCUUGUGUUACUAAUAGUAGCUCACAAAACUAUUUGAACUGCUUACAAUCUCAAGGAUAGCUUCAGCGGUGAUGCAAAAGGCUUGCAAAGGCUAUUUCCAAAGGUUGAUUUUCUCCUAAAUCAUGUAUUGGAAAAAAAUCGGUUUGGAAUGAGGUAGAAAUUCAAUCUUGUUACGUAAUGGUUCACGUGACAAGUACUUCCGCUCUAGACAUUGCAAAUGCAAGAACUCUGAAAACCCUGUAAAGUGACUUUUUGUGGUGUGUUGCGACUCCGUUUGUGGUUUUAUAAUGAUAUUCAUCAAUUUUUUUCUCUUUUUGCCUGCCACCCUGGUCUGUUUUUUAGGAUUAAAAGUCCGAAUUUGGUGUGGCAUAGUAUGGCAGGCUAGACUUAGUCUCAUGAAUCAGCCGCCGUUCCUUUAGAACACCGUCUGAGCACUCUUGUCAUCGUUUUAUGUGCCAAGACAGAAUUCCGUCUUGACCAAUCAGAUUGCAGAGGUCCAGUCAGGUGAUAAACUUGGAGGCAGCAAAGAACUGCACUUUGCUCAACGCAUUUGGAUAAUCAUUACGCAUGCAUUACGCAUGGUAAACACUUCGUACAUAGAAGCUGCUGCGAAGCAUAAGCAAGCCAAGCAGGGGUCCUUGGGCAAGAUUUAGCAAAACACAAAUAAUAGUUUUCACAAUGUCGUCCUCCUUGCAUUGGAUGAUACUUCGUAACAGGGUAGCUUGAGACUGGUCAAGCUUGCUAAGCUCAACAAUAUGCUCCUCUUUAUGGUCUGAGUCACUGUCUAGUUCCGUCUCUUCAGGUUCUGCAUUGAGUUCUGCCAUUGCAUAUAAUCAUUAGCACGGUAGUGCUAAUAGUAGGGUUGGGUCGAAAACAGCAAAAAGGCCCCCUCUGGAUGUCACCCAAGAAGCAAGAUAAAGUUAUUUUGAGUUUAUAUAUCUGUUGCCAAUAUCAUUUGUGACAUUUGUGUGAAAUAUGAACUGAAUUGAACAUUGUAUGAAAAAGUUAUAAAAACAGCAAAAGUAAAAAAACAACAACUUUUUGUCAUUCUUCUCCUCACGUUCUUCCGCGAGAUAAUCUAGAGAACUGUAGCUCCACAGCACAAACUAGACACAUAUUAGUGUCCUCUGUCGCCUUGGGUACGUCCCGAACUAAUCGCUUUCCUUCAAAGUUAAAUUUGCUAGGGUGUAUGAUAUGGCUUCUUUAUUAGGUACAGAGGUCAGUUCGCCAUUGUUUUCCUACUGAGCAUGCUCAGACAUAGCAGACAGCAUGGCCACACCCUCUUAUCUUAGCAACCCUUGAGGUCUAUAGCAACAGUAGUGUUUUGCACUGUCCAUUCUUACCGCUCCAGUUUAAUGCUCGCAAGUAAAGCUCUUCAUAGCCUCGAUCCCAGGCCGAGUUUUCGCUUUUAUAACGGUUAGGCGAACAACUGGGCCUGGUACUAGUUGUCUGCGCAUGCGUCAGUCGUUCGUCAGAUUCUGACGAAUGGAUAUUCUCGUUCACUUUCGUGACAUUUAUAUUCGUGUACUAUCGUGUACUAGAAGUCAGUUCCCGUUUUAUCAUUAUUGGAAUCGAUUGGAAUCGAUUGGAAUGGCUCUUAGCUGAAGCUUCUCUCUUCUCUGAAGCUUAUUCUGAAGACUGAACAACAAGGGAAGAGGUAUAAAGCUUUGUCAAGCUUGUUAAGGAGCAAUGGCUAAUAUCCAGCUGUCCCAACAGUGCUCCUCUUGGCUAUACUAACGGACGAGACUGGACAGUUUGAGACACAGGACUGGAGUAUGAUCUGCUCAUUCGAGCGUUGCUGGGUAGCUCAGAGACAUCAAGAGAAUCUACGUUUUCUCAAGCAAUGAGUUACGAGUUGGGGCCUAGAAUCAGAGAAGUCCAGCAGCCUGCUAAAUCUUUUUGAAACGUAAUUUGAAGGCAUUCAAUCAUCCUGAAGUUGCCCUGGGUCACUGUAAUUGUGCUGCAGCACAACUGGCAACUCCCCAGGCCUUUGUGAAGCAGCUCCCUAUGUGCAUCUUUUGUGUACUCACUCUGUGCAUUUUCUGUGUACAAAUUUCGAUUAUUGAUUUAUUAAAUAUUUUUGCCGACCACAAA